AUGCUUUGCUUGUAUGUUGAUGACAUACUGAUUUUCGGAACAAAUCUGAAUGUUAUUAAGGAGGUCAAGGAUUUCCUAUCUCGUUGUUUUGAGAUGAAGGAUUUAGGAGUGGCUGAUGUCAUUCUGAACAUCAAGUUGUUGAGAGACGAUGAUGGUGGGAUUACAUUGCUUCAAUCUCACUAUGUGGAAAAGAUCUUGAGUCGCUUUGGCUACAGUGACUGCAAGCCCUCUCCAACACCAUAUGAUGCUAGCGUGCUGCUUCAAAAGAAUCGAAGAAUUGCUAGAGAUCAAUUGAAGUAUUCUCAGAUUAUUGGCUCGCUUAUGUACUUAGCCAGUGCUACAAGACCUGACAUCUCUUUUGCUAUAAAGGCCACGAGCGGAUAUGUGUUCACUCAUGGAGGUGGCGCUGUUUCUUGGAAGUCUUGCAAGCAGACCAUCUUAACGAGGUCAACUAUGGAAGCAGAACUCACAGCACUAGAUACAGCUACGGUCGAAGCAGAUUGGCUUCACCGGCUCUUGAAUGACUUGCCGGUUGUUGAGAAACCUGUACCGGGUAUCCUUAUGAACUGUGACAAUCAAACUAAGAACAUCUUUUGA
rnacentral:rRNA from 1 species